rnacentral:rRNA from 1 species
GAUGAACGCUAGCUACAGGCUUAACACAUGCAAGUCGAGGGGAAACGACAUUGAAGCUUGCUUCGAUGGUCGUCGACCGGCGCACGGGUGAGUAACGCGUAUCCAACCUGCCUCUGACCAAGGGAUAACCCGUCGAAAGUCGGCCUAAUACCUUAUGCAGUCGUCGGAAGUCAUCUGAUGACGACGAAAGAUUUCAUCGGUGAGAGAUGGGGAUGCGUCUGAUUAGCUUGUUGGCGGGGUAACGGCCCACCAAGGCAACGAUCAGUAGGGGUUCUGAGAGGAAGGUCCCCCACAUUGGAACUGAGACACGGUCCAAACUCCUACGGGAGGCAGCAGUGAGGAAUAGUGGUCAAUGGGCGAGAGCCUGAACCAGCCAAGUAGCGUGCAGGAUGACGGCCCUAUGGGUUGUAAACUGCUUUUAUGCGGGGAUAAAGUGAGGGACGUGUCCUUCAUUGCAGGUACCGCAUGAAUAAGGACCGGCUAAUUCCGUG